AUUGAACGCUGGCGGCAUGCUUUACACAUGCAAGUCGAACGGCAGCACGGGUGCUUGCACCUGGUGGCGAGUGGCGGACGGGUGAGUAAUGCAUCGGAACGUGUCCUAAAGUGGGGGAUAACGCAUCGAAAGAUGUGCUAAUACCGCAUAUUCUCUGAGGAGGAAAGUAGGGGAUCGAAAGACCUUAUGCUUUUUGGAGCGGCCGAUGUCUGAUUAGCUAGUUGGUAGGGUAAUGGCUUACCAAGGCGACGAUCAGUAGUUGGUCUGAGAGGACGACCAGCCACACUGGGACUGAGACACGGCCCAGACUCCUACGGGAGGCAGCAGUGGGGAAUUUUCCGCAAUGGGCGAAAGCCUGACGGAGCAACGCCGCGUGGGUGAUGAAGUUUUUCGGAACGUAAAACCCUUUCGCCAGGGACGAAGCGAGUGACGGUACCUGGAGAAGAAGCAUCGGCUAACUACGUGCCAGCAGCCGCGGUAAU
rnacentral:rRNA from 1 species